rnacentral:rRNA from 1 species
UACGUAGGAUGCAAGCGUUGUCCGGAAUUAUUGGGCGUAAAGAGCGCGCAGGCGGUAACUCAAGUCAGAUGUGAAAUAUCCGGGCUUAACCCGGAGGGGUCAUUUGAAACUGAGUAACUAGAGUACAGCAGAGGAUAGCGGAAUUCCCAGUGUAGUGGUGAAAUGCGUAGAUAUCGGGAGGAACACCAGUGGCGAAGGCGGCUAUCUGGGCUGAAACUGACGCUGAGGCGCGAAGGCUAGGGGAGCAAACAGG